rnacentral:lncRNA from 1 species
AGCACGUUGUAUAUCCGAUUUGGUUCGCUAUGUACACACUAGUUCGCUUUCUAGAUAACGACCACGCACAUGACACUCGCCGGUACGUAGUGCCAGUGGACGAUAUCCGCGAUUUUCAUCCGAAGCACGAGACAGACUUUGACGGCAAGGCAGUGUAUGUUGUGCACUGGGUGGACAAUGUAGACAGCGACAACACGGGUGAUUAUACAGCGCAGAUACUUCGACUUGGUGCCACAGAGAAAGAAGCUCGCGAAUCGCCGAAAAGAAUCCCGAUCCCUAAAAUGAUGGUUCAUCAAAACUUGGACGAUGACGAAGCUGUGGCCAAGAAGGCCACUGCAGCAAGAAACAAAAGAACAGCUUUCAACCGGGCUGCAGCAAAGAAAGACCGGUACGAGCAGAGUCUGAAAAAACAGAUGAGCCACGCUCUCUGAAAAAACUCGGAACAAACUCAAAAAAGGCGACAAAGUUCAUCAUCAAGCUCAGAUGACUCUCUCGUAUCCAGCUCAGAAGUAAAAGAAGAAAAGAAAAAAACCAACUUUGGAAAGAGAGAUGCAAGGAGCUGCGACAGGAUCAAUAUGUUCCUGCAAGAACAAGUUAGAUCACAGCAGGUGCUAUUAAAUUCAAAAUUCCUGAGGUUUGAAGACCUGCAGCACCGCAGAGAGCCUGGCGUUGAAAGCUCACCUGUACAAGCUACAAAAGAGACGGCAAAGGCCACAAGCAACCUAGCUGCUGGCAGUCUGCGCUCAAGAAGUCCCAUUGA